rnacentral:rRNA from 1 species
UACGUAGGGUGCAGGCGUUAAUCGGAAUUACUGGGCGUAAAGCGUGCGCAGGCGGUUUCUUAAGUCAGAUGUGAAAGCCCCGGGCUUAACCUGGGAACUGCGUUUGAAACUGGGAGACUUGAGUGUGGCAGAGGGGGGGUGGAAUUCCACGUGUAGCAGUGAAAUGCGUAGAUAUGUGGAGGAACACCGAUGGCGGAAGGCAGCCCCCUGGGUUAACACUGA